UGGUGUAGCUCAGUCGGUAGAGCGACGCACUCGUAAUGCGUAGGUCGCCGGUUCAAGUCCGGCCUCC
rnacentral:tRNA from 1 species